UCACCGUUUUUGACCAAGAAGGACGACCCAGGAAUGCCAAGCAUCUACAGCUCCAUAAAUGGAUACAGCUUCUACAAGACGUUUUGCGAUACCGGAUCGGGCGUCAACAUAAUGGCCGCAGUCACCUAUCGGCUCUUGUUCGGAACCAUGCCCCUAAGACCAACAUACAUUCAACUCCAGAUGGCAGAUCAGACAUUUCGAGAAGUUAAAGGAACAGUAACCGGUGUCCCAGUCACGAUAGAAGAUCAUUUUGUCUACACAGACUUUCAGGUUAUUGACAUGGGAGAAGAUGAAUACGAUCCACCCAUCAUCCUUGGAAGACCGUUCCUUAGCACCGUUAAAGCAAUCAUCUACAUUGGAACCGAAGAAGUCCAUAUGCACUUCCCCUUAGAGAAGGUACGCCGUUAUUUUAUUGACCCUAACUACAUCGUUGAAGAAUCUAAGCAGGUAAGAAAACGACGCAACCGCAACCAGAGGAGGCAAAUCAUCAAGGACGGAUGGGCAGACUAUGAUGGAGAAGUUGUAAGGUCAGAAGACGUAGAGUUUAAAGAGAAUUAUCCCGAGGAGACUGAAGCACCGAGUCAGGUAUGGAAAGAGAAGAUAAUUAUACAUGAAGAGGAGACGCUGCCGGAAGUACCGACUCCGCCACCCAACGAAUCCCAGGACAAUUGAAGAAAACGGAGAGUCCCGUUCGGAGGACUUAAAACACCGAACGCCUUGCCAAGAGGUAAACUUGGUAGAUAUCCUUUCCCUUUCAAUUAUUUAAAAUAGUUUGCUUAGUUACUUAUGUUCAUGCUAUCCUAAAAAGAAAAUAAAAAUGUGAAAAUAGUAAGCCCCAUGUGAGUAUACGAGUGGCAUAAAACUCCAUAAGUACAUUCACUGUGGUGGCAUAAAAAUAAAAUAAAUAUUUCUUUCCUACUUUAUAAAACGAAAAUAUAAAAACAGGGAGUAAUAUUUAUUGAGGAGUCUCAACAUGAUAAAGGCUAGAUAUUUAUGCUAACACUUAAUCAGUUCCACAAGCUUUGUUGUCUAUUUGAGCUCCGCAGAAUUUAAGAAUCAAAAAGACUAGCAGACGGAGGACAAUCUAAUCGUUGUCAGAAUGCUGCUGACUUUCAAAUACACCUCUGCCACCUGCUAGCUACAUCAAGAGAAAUUACGUCAAAAUUCAACUUGGGGGAGAGCACCCCCAUUUAUACCGAUAAGUAUUUCUAUCUAUCUAUCUUUAUACUUAUACUAUAUUAAAAUAUAAAUAUACAUAAACCAGGAAAAACCAAAUAAAGAUUUUGUGCUUAUAUAUAUAUAUAUCUUUUGCUUAGUAUGAUUAAUAAAUAAAUAAAGCGGCUAUGCUAAUCUGUAUCUAAAUAAAACUCAAGCAUGGAUAUGAUGAAUAGUUGCUCUACUUAAUUUGCAAAUUUUAAGUUCUCUCUCAAGUUUAGACAUAAUUGUUAUAAUUUAAAGCUUGCUCUAGACCUAAACUUGUGGGAUGAAAACUUGAUCUGAAGUCUAAGUUGUUAACGGAUAUGUUAUGGGAAGGUUGAGCUGCUGUUUAUCUGUUCCUAGAGAUGCUAGAAUUCUGGAGAAUUUUAUCUUUAAAAAUCUUUAAAAUGUUGCAUGAUGAGUUCCUGUAUGAUGAGAGUUUUAAAUUCCUACCACAGCCAUAUAUACAUGCUUGCUAGACUUUGAGCCACACAUUUAUUAUUUACUGCUUAUGAGCAUUGAGUGUGGUCAAGCUGUGUAGACCCUUAGGAGCUUGUCAUGUGGUUAAAUCAAGAUUUCACUAGCACGUUCACUCAUAUAUGCUACUUCUACUCCGGAAGUAUCAUCCACAUAUAUCCACCCAUUUCCAUCUCCAGAACCACCCAAAAAUAUUCUACUCCUAACCCGGGAGAGAAUAGCCAAAAAUAUUUCUGUUUUUCCUUUGUGAAAUAAAUGCUCAAGUUAUCUUGUUACUACCACUUGCUAUAUUAUCUCAAGAGAUGAGUGCUCUAAAAAAAAGAGAAAAAAAAAGAUACGAGGAAAUAAAAAGGAGCAAGUGCUCGGAACCUCAAAAGAAACGAAAAAAGUGAGACGAGAGGUAAAAAUAGACAAGUGUCCGACAGUAGAAUUAGGGGUACAAGAUACCCACCUGAGAGAAAAGAAAAAGAAGAGCAUCUCAUUCUACUCACUAUUCAAAAAGCAAGGAAGGUAUGUAUCCCCUCAAAAGAGCAAAAGUAGAAUUACACUUUCACCAUUGUUAUCACCAUCAUCACCAUAUAUCAUUCGCCACACAUGCACAUCUUGAUUUGACUUAUUGAUUUGUUUCUUUGGAUCCAUGGUUUGACUAUACAAUACAUGUCUUGUAAGUAUGUAUAUUUUAUCUCCCACCUAUGAGCUCCAGAUAUUAAAGUCUUAUUAGAGUAGGGUGAGAGAGAAGGCAAUGUCACUAUGCUUCAUACCACAAAUACUACAUAUUUUGAGAGAAGGCAUAUACCAUCACUGCCUUGGUAAGGAUCCAGAAAUACCACAAAAGAGAGAUAUGAGAGAGUCAUACAAAGGAAUCUCUGAUUUUUAUUUGAAAAUCUGCAAAAACUCUAGAACUCUAGUUAAUCGAAGAACAAGAGGUAUGGUGCUUGACUAUACCGUUCUAUCUUUUAACUGCUCAAGACACAAGUGAUGGUUGCAAGCCCCAUGGUGGAAGGAAAAAUGAGUAAGUUUAAAUCUUAACAGUUUACCCUAACCCCGAGAUGAGAUCUUGUUUGAACGCAUGUAUAUCUUUAAGGCAUGAAACCACUGCAGAAACUCUUGAGUUCAUCUUUCCUCAGGGACGAGCAAAGGUUAAGCUUGGGCGAGCUUGUUGACAGUCCUUAAUGCUCACAUUUAACCCUCAACUAAUCAUGGAAAAGGAUCCAAAUGCAACGGACACCCAGACUUAGGGUUUUAUCUGACAGAAUUCCACGAGUUUUGGUUUUUGUCUAUUUCUGCAGGGGGUUAUCAGGAAAUACAGAGGAAAGGCCCACACGUCGGGUUUACAUAGAGAUAUUAACGUGUCGCGCAAUUUUCUAUCAUCUAAAAGACUCCAGAAGCCACGGGAACGAAUGGGAAGGCGAUCGGGCCCAGGGCAGGGCGCCCGCCCUCCCCCCUAGGGCGCCCGCCCAGCUACAGAGUCCAAACAGGACCCGUUUCGUGGAUCACGCUCCACCAACCUAAAGGAUCAAGGAAAACCGUGCGAUUAAUGUCGGUUUGAUCCGACGGCCUAGAUUCUUCUGAAAAGACUAUAUAAGCAAGGCCCCCUGGCCCCUAGAGAUCAUACCUCUUCUACUGAAUCAAAGCUAGGGUUUCAAUUCUUCAUCCAAGUAGAGAGGAUCCCUCUAGUUCAUCUAGUUCUAGUUCUAGUUCCUCUAGUUCUAGUUCUAGUUCUAGUUAGUUCUAGUUGUAAUCUAGAAAAUAUGGAGAGAGAAGGGGAGAGCAGAGGAGGAGCCGGAUCUGUCAGAUCUUCCUCAACAUUGUACUUUUGCAGCAACUGGUUUGUUCUUCAUCGUUCUCCAAGUUCUUCAAUUCGUAAUUCCUGAGUUCUUUAAUUACUUUUAUUUACAUUCAAGUUAUUUAUUGGAUUCUCGCUUGCAUCAAGUGCUCUAGUCUUUAUAACGCUAGAGUAAUAAUUAAUAGAUUAGACGUGGUGUUUAGUCUUGCAAUUACCUGGAAUUGCACCCAAUCCUGAGGAUUGUUGUGGUAGCCCUAGGGUAGUGACAGCCCUAACGGUCGACGUAUUCCACCUCGUUUGGAUCGGUGUUUGUAGGACCGUAGUCAGAGCUUCCUAGCCCCUUCUCAUCUCUUUCUAUGGUUAGUGUUCUGAUGUCCCGCAAUAAAUAAUCUUUGAAGUAAUUCUUGAUUCAUAGAUCAACUAGAGAACUCUCAGGAAACUUCUUCUCUUCCCACCAAAAAUAAUUAUAUAGUCAUUCUUGGGCGAUCUUGAAUCUUAAUUAGUACACUCACGUUCCCUGUGGAAAAUUGAUACUCUGGAAUACUCCCGGGUGAAAGCUACAUCAGUAUCCGUGCGCUUGCGGAUUUUUCUGUUUGCGUUUAAAAUACCCAACAGUAGCUAAUUCUAAUUCUCUGCGGGAGAGAAGUAUUCUAAACCCUAACUUUGAUGGCUUCCUCUGAUAAUGAUUUCUCCUCCUCCCCUGGGGUGGAGAGGCCUUGCUUAUAUAUCCCCCUCAAUGGAACAUGGGCCGUUGGAUCAAACCGACCUUAAUCACACGGUUUUCCUUGAUCCUUAGAGGCGAUGUAGCAUAAUCCACAAGGCGGAGCGUGUUUAGCCGCCAGGGCAGGGCAGGCGCCCUUAAUCCUAGGGCAGGCACCCUGGACAGGGCUCACCCUGGCUCUGCUUUGGCCCAGGUCCUUCUGGAGUCUUCUAGAUUGAGGAAAACUACCGCACACAUUAAUAUCUCUAAGUAAACCCGACGUGUGGGCCUUCCUUCCAUAUUUUCUAAUAACCCCCUGUAGAAAUAGACACACACCAAAACUCAUGGAAUUCUAUCAGAUAAAACCCUAAUUCUAGGUGUUUGGUGCAUAUAGAUCCUUUUAUAUGUUUAGUUGACGGUUGAAUUUGGCACUUAAGGACCGUCAACAAACUCCCCCAAGCUUACCCUUUGCUCGUCUCUGAGCGAACAGCUAAACUCAGAUGGAUCAGGAGUUGCUUCGAUGUUUUCUUUCCUGACAGGCACACAUCCUUUCAUAUAAAAUUCUCCCAGAUUAAAGUGAAGUGUCAUGGAGUUUAGUACCUGCACUUAAGUCUUGAGUAAUUGAAAGACAAAAUAAUUAAGUCAAGCACUAUUCCUCCUAUCUAUACUUCACAUUUGUUCUCAAGUUUUUCAUAAGUUUUUAAAAUUGUAACAUCCCUAAUGUUACGGAUACUAAAACUGGAUCAUGACAUCAUAAGCAUUGCAUAGCAUAGUUGUUAAACACAUCGUGGUGCAUCAACUUAAAAUAAGUUCAUUUUGGUUGAUUGUGCUUAGAGAACUAAAGUGUGUUUAUCUUGUGAAGUGACGCUUGUAAUGGUUGUUUAAUCUCUAGUUAAGGAGGGUGGUAAGGAAAAACCCUAAUUUCAACCGUAGCUUUUACCCCGUUUUGUGUAUUUUAAAAACUAAGCAAAAUUUGGGGAUGACUUCAAAAGCAAAGAUGUAGAUCUUGUCAAGGUGUACAACUUUGGUGUUUUGAGUUUUUGAAGUUUCAAUGCAAAAUUCAAAAUAAUUUUGAAAAUACCGAUUUCCAGAAAUUGCCCCCUUUUCAAUCUGAAUCUCUAAUUCAAAAUCUAUUUGGAAUCUUGAAAAGUGACCAAAAUGAAAGUUGUAGAGCUCAUCAAAUUGAACACCUUUUAUUUUGGGAGUUUUUCAAGUUCUUGAGGAAAAUCAAAAAUAAUUUUGGAAUUUCAGUUCUGAUCAAAUUCAAAUUGGAAUUUCCCUAAUUUGGAAUUUGAAUUUAAAAAUUUUUUACUCAAAUUCACACUCUUUCACUCAAAAUUGGCUCUGGGUCCUUAAAUAUGUUUUGUAGAGUUAAAAAUUCUAAAGAACUUUUAUUUUGUCCAAAAUUUGACUUUUAUUCAAAAUUUUUGAGUAAUUUAAGAAAAAUAGAAAAGGUGGGGAUAAGCAUGUCCACAGUGCCGGAGGGUAGGGGGACUGCACUUCCGCUGCGGCAGGCGCAGCCAUCUCGCACGCCGCCACGCGCCCAGCCACACAGCUGCUUGGCUGCUCGAUGUCACCAUGAAGUGGCCGAGCUCCUAGCGUGCUCAUCCACUCCUCCCCGUGACCACACCUUGCUACAACCUCCCUUUUCUCUCUUCUGCUCAACACCGGCGAGCUCCCUGCGCCCGUGAAAUUCACCUCGCCCACUCUCUUUCCGAGCCACCAGAGCACCCCAACAGCUUCAACAUGAACUCAGCUACCUCCUAAACCCCUCACAACAUGCUCGAAACCCUUGUAGCUCCAACCCAAGCCGUUCUCCUCCAACCCCGGUAGAAACUUCGCCGCGAGCACUUCACCAUGGCUAGGCCUCCUCCGAGUGUCUCCACCGCUGCUAUCAGGCUUUUUGAAGUCACAGUGAGCUAACGAUGCUUGUGCGCCUCUCGGUUGGCGUUCUACUUGCUUGUAGCAGCCGGCGUUCGCGCGGCCGACGUUGCCGUCUGCCAUAACCGUGGCCGUAUGGGCUAGGCUUAGGGAGAGCGGGUGCUUAGGGGGUCUAAAGGUGCGCGGUGGAGCGGAGAAUGUGCCUGUCGAGUCACGAAGAUCGGAAGUGGCGUCGAUAGCUCGGUCGCGCCAUGGGUUUGGCCAGCUAGAGCUUGAAGACGAAGCUGACAGCGGGGCCCCACUGUGAGCGAUGUCGUGAGAGAGGGGAGAGGUCACGCGUGGCGCGUGGGGCCGGAUGGGCUGGCCUGCGGGGCGAGCUGCUGGGCCUGUCCCGGUUGAAUAAUGGUUUUUCCUUUUUCUUUUUAUGCUUAAAUUAAUGUAUGUUUGAUUUUGUGUAGGAAAAGAUGUGCAGAUCUAAAAAUAGUGAAAUUUUUUGUAUAGGUUCUGUGCAGUGAGUGGAACAUAGGAAAAAUGCUAGAUUCCAUUUUCUGAUAUUUUCAACAGGUAUAAAAAUCAUGUCCUUUAUUUAGUAAAUAGAACUCCCAUGAUUCUUAGAAAUUUAUUUAUAUGUCCAAAAAUCACCAAAAUUUGUGGGGAGUCUCUGAGUAUUAUUUCCUAGCUUCACAAAAAGUUUGGUGGCAUUUGGAUAAAGCUUGAGUAAAAUAUUAAUAUACCCUUAAUUAGUAAUUAAGUAAUAAUCCUAAAAUAAUUAAAUAAUGAUUAACUUAAUUUCCAAAUUAUGAUUUAAUUAAGAAUAAUUAUUGAUUGGAAUUAAUGCUUAAUUAUUGUCAUUAAUGCUUAAUUAAGGAUUAAUUAAGAUAAGUGGGAUUAAUAAUUAGUUAAUUAAGAAUAAUUAUAUAUUAAGAAAAGUCUUAGUUUACUGUUGCAACCUCUUGGGUAAAGAUACUAAAGUAGUAAACAACCUUUAAUUACUAUUUUAACUUGCUUUUGCACCGAGAAGGAAAGUUGUACUCAACUAAAUCCUUCUUAUCUAUGUCAUAAGCAUACAUCAUUCUUGCGUAUAGUGCACAUGACCGAAGGAGUGACCGUUGAACCGAACCCCGAAGUUGGUGUUCCAUUCGAGGAAGUUGCAACCGAGACAUGGGAAGUCUCCGAGGAACCCACUCAGCUCUGCAAACAAGGCAAGCCCCAGAUGCAUUUAACCCUUCGUUGAAUGUUUUAAAUAUUAUAUCACUUAUGAGUUAAAAAUGCUGCAUUUCAUAGUCAAGAAUUGGGUUUAACCUAAUUGUUGCAUUUACCACCUUGAUAUUUGUUAUCUUGUCCUUGGCACCUGUUUUAUCUUAAAAGCUGUGUAGUGAUGCUUAGCCCCGCUUAAUAGAUAGGCUUUCAAAUAAGAAAGUUUCAAUGAUUGUUGUGGAAUACUUUUAUUGUCAUUGAUGUUUCAACUUGAGACCGGUCGGUGGACUUGCUUUAAGAAUGGAGUUUUAAAGUAGUGUCUCCAACUGUGUCGAUUAAGGACCGGUCCAUUGAUGGCCUACUGGGUUGAGAAAUUAUAGUACUAGCCACUUGCCCUCGAUAAGCUCGGUCUAGUGAUUCCUCGAUGAGAGCGGCUACUCGCGCACUGGGCGUGGAGCGAUGGCGAGAGUAGCAUGUACCCUCCUAGCAAAUGGGCUGGACGGUGGAGUACUGUGCUCUCAGGUGCAGCGAACCCGGUCAAAUCUAUGGAAAGCCAUAUUUGAGUUGACAAAUGCAAGAUCCACUUCUACAUAUGUCGGGUGGUUAGGAACUCCAGCUGGAUUGCUAAGCGGUUUGAAUCCUCAUUGCUCCCUGAUUGGGAGACUCAAUUCCUUUGACCAUCAUCGUAGUUAAACAUGCAACUAAGUUAUGAAAUGGGGAAAAAGGAAAUGUCUCAUGGAGUUCGGAUCCCAAUUCCCGGACUCACAGUGACAAGAAGCUAUGGCCGUCUGAUAAAUAUCAUUCUUGCUAGGGAUUAGGGAUUCACAAGCUUGUCUGUGAAAAGCAACUAGAUAGAUUGUCCUCGAAUUCCACGGCCUCUCCAGGUGACCGAUUUGAGGCUAAAAUUUGAGAGUAAGGAUCCACUAUUAGUAAGCUUUUAUGCAAACUAAUUUGGUUCCUUGCUCGGCCACUCCUUCUCUUCCUUAAAGCAAGCAUUCCUAAGUUCUCCUCAUUUUCCGUGGGGUAAGUCUUGUUGAGUACUCCCAUACUCAGGGUUUUAUAACCCCUGUUGCAGGUGAGGCACUAGAGCCGACUUGCUUUGGACCCUGUUGUGUGACUGUCGUCGAGGUUGACGAUGAUGAGGAAUGAGAGUGACCCGUGGGCUGGCUCUAAAAGUUGUAAACUUUGUAAUACUGUUAAGGUUGCUCUUUAAACAUGGUUUGUAAUAAUACUUUACCUAAGUUCUACUUUUAAGAACUACAUUUGUAAAUUAAGUUAUGUAAUGCUUCCGCUGUUUUACUCCGAAAUGCUACUUUGGUUAUGUAUCGUCUACGAUGCAGCAAUGUAUUCCAAAUGAAUUAUCCUACUGUUAAUGUGGUCACUCGCUAUCCUGUGAAGGAGAGAAGAAGAAGUUCUCGUUGAUUGACCAUUGCUAGUGGUCAAGACGAGCACUGUUAUUACGCCACUGGUAGCAGUGGGAUGGGUGUCCUGGGAUGCUCAUUAGGCUUCUAGAGUAGAUGGAUCCCCGACAUCAUCGUCAGAGGUCUUUGAGACGAUGACAGGUGUCGGUGGGCCCAACUACUUAGGAGGUUCUGCCACAGCUAGUAUUAGACUUGCUUAUUUUGAGUCCAAGUACUUUAGCUUUACCUUACCCUUGUUUGUAGGCUUUAAUAAAGUUUUUAAGGCCAUGUGAAGGAGCAACAUAAAGUACAGCCCUAUGUUGUAAAAUUUUAAUUGGUAUAACUGUUGGAUUUCUGUUACGAAUCGUAAGUACGUGCAUGCAUCGAGACAUAUCACUUGGUUAAUUACCUUCCUCUUUAUUUGGGUUGGAUUGUAUAGGAUCAUUCCCAUUAUUGCUAACCUUAAUGGUCUACUUUACUAAAUCUAAACUCACCCUCUACAGGAUGGGCUGUCUGAAGCAAACUCCCCUCAAGAGGGUAGGUCCUAAAGGAGUGCCUCAUCAUCAACUGGCCCCACGGAGCGAGCAAGCCAGUAGCAGUCAUUCCCAUUCUCAGGAGGAGAUAGAGAAGUUAUCUGCAUAAUUAGAUGAAGCUACUAGAGAUAGGAUGCUCAAUGUUAUGCAAAUCGGCAAGCUUCAGACCCAAUUGGCAAAUGUUGACGAUCCUUAAUGCUCACAUUUAACCGUCAACUAAUCAUAGAAAAGGUUUCAAAUGUAACCAACACCCAGACUUAUGGUUUUAUCUGAUAGAAUUCCACGAGUUUUGGUGUUUGUCUAUUUCUGUAGGGGGUUAUCAGGAAAUACGGAGUAAAGGCCCACACGUCGGGUUUACAUAGAGAUAUUAACGUGUGCAGCAAUUUUCUAUCAUCUAGAAGACUCCAGAAGCCAUGGAAACAAAGCAGAGGUAGAACGGGGCCUGACCCAGGGCGCCCGCCCUAGGGACCAGGGCGCCCGCCCUCCUCUAGUGCCCAAUCAGGGUCAACUUCGCGGAUCAUGCUCCACCGACCUAAGGGAUCAAGGAAAACCGUGCGAUUAAUGUCGGUUUGAUCCAACGGCCCACAUUCAUUUGGAAGGACUAUAUAAGUAGGCCCCCUGACCCUUGGAGAACAUACCUCUUCUACAGAAUCAAAGUUAGGGUUUCAAUUAUUCAUCCAAGUAGAGAGGAUCCCUCUAGUUCUAGUUCUUCUAGUUCUAGUUCUAGUUAGUUCUAGUUGUAAUCUAGAAAAUAGGGAGAGCGAAGAGGAGAGCGGAGGAGGAGCCGGAUCUGUCGGAUCUUCCUCAACAUUAUACUUUUGCUGCAACUGGUUCGUUCUUCAUCGUUCUCCAAGUUCUUCAAUUCAUAAUUCCUAAGUUCUUUAAUUACUUUUAUUUACAUUCAAGUUAUUUAUUGGAUUCCCGCUUGCAUCAAGUGCUCUAGUCUUUAUAACGCUAGAGUGGUAAUUAAUAGAUUAGACGUGGUGUUUAGUCUUGCGAUUACCUGGAAUUGCACCCAAUCCUACGGAUUGUUGUGGUAACCCUAGGGUAGUGACAGCCCUAACGGUCGAUGUAUUCCACCUCGUUCAGAUCGGUGUUUGUAGGACCUUAGUCAGAGCUUCCUAGCCCCCUUCUCAUCUCUUUCUGUGGUUAGUGUUCUGAGGUCACGGAAUAAAUAAUCUUUCUUUCUGUGGUUAGUGUUCUGAGGUCACAAAAUAAAUAAUCUUUGAAGUAAUGCUUGAUUCUUAGAUCAACUAGAGAACUCUCAGGAAACUUUCUCUCUUCCCACCAAAAAUAAUUAUAUAGUUAUCCUUGGGCGAUCUUGAAUCUUAAUUAGUACACUCACGUUCCCUGUGGAAAAUUGAUACUCUGGAAUACUCCCAGGUGAAAGCUACAUCGGUAUCCAUGCGCUUGCAGAUUUUUCUGUUUGCGUUUAAAAUACCCAACAAGCUUUCUGGCGCCAUUGCCGUGGAACGGUAGCUGUGCUAGUUUCGAACCAAGUCGUCCGUGUAUCCUUUUUCUUUUCCUUUUUUUACCACACUCACCUUACCAUUUUCACCAUAUGGAUUUCACUCCUAUCUAUAAAUUCUUUGCUCCAAAGGGCGAGUUAUUAGAGCCACCACCAUCAUCACAUCCAAUUCUUAUAGAUGGCUACGACCUCGGCCGUGAUCUAAUAGCCAUGAUUCAGGAGCAACCCUUCUCUGGGCAAGUAGAUGAAGAUCCAUACACCCACCUUAGAGAAUUCGAGCAGUUGUGCUCUUGCCGAUCUAUUUCUGGCAUGACACAAGAAACCCUUAAAUGGAAAUUAUUUCCGUUCUCCCUUUUGGGAAGAGCGAAAAAGUGGUAUGCUCAUUCUGUAGGAGGCAUUAAUGGAAAUUGGUAUGAACUUUGAGACAACUUUUGUCUCGCUUUCUUCCCACUUUUUCGAAUUGCUGACCUUAGAAUCGAAAUUCUUACAUUCAAACAAAGAGAGAAGGAAACUUUAGGAGCAGCUUGGGCUAGGUUCACAAGACUUACCAAUUCUGGUCCAAACCUUUACCUACGUGACCAUGUACUGUACUACCACUUUUAUCGUGCUCUAAACAAGGAAGCUGCUCUUCACCUCGACAUUGCUUCAGGAGGCUCAUUCACACACAAACUCAUAGAUGAGGGGAGAGCUAUCCUAGAGAGAAUCCUUGAAAAUACCCCUUACACGGGCAUUUAUGAUGAGUUUCCUGAAGAAGAAAAAGAAGUCGAGCCUGAUCCUAAACCAAAAGAUGAGGAACUUGCAACCGAGUUAGAAAUUCCACCUGACCUUUAGAGCAUCCCUUUGAAUUCGAGGAAGAUCUUUGGUUGUAGAGAAACCUUCUGAUAAGAGAAUGCAAAACCAACUAAGGGAUGUUGAACCACCACCUUUAGAGCAUCCCUUUGAAUUCGAGGAAGAUCUUUUUGAAGAUUAUGGAAACACCUCGAAUUUUCCUAUCCAAACACAACCUCUAGCAGGGACCACUCAAUCCGUUCAAAGAGUAGAAUCUGUUGACAUAGAACACAUCAAAAGCCUUUCGGCUAUUCUGAGUUAUGAAUGGCUAACAGAAGCUGAGCUGUCUCUUGAGGUAGCUCGAAUCAUCACUCCUUCAACCAUUCUUCUGUGCCAAAUUAGAGGGUCCGCUAGGAAGGUCCACUACAAUCCAUAUGUUGGGAUAAAUGUUAUUUCCAAGGAGUUAUCUGACACUCUUUAUCCCAACAAAUCCAUAACCCCAUCUUAAAAACUUUUACAAAGUCCAUCCACAUUAAUUAUAGAAAGCCAUGGGGUAUUAAGGGCAGUUCCUGUUAGAAUCAAGGACUCUAGAAUAUGUAUAGAUUUUCACAUUUUUGACAUACCGGAGAUUCCUCUCUUGAUUGGCAGACCAAUCCUGAAACUUCUACAAGAACAACCACAACGAGGUCAUUUAGACUUCAAGGUUGGGAAUUCCCUAUUGUUGUUCCUCUUGCUAGAUCAAUUAACACGAUAGUGGAACCCAACUUGAACCAGAUCCUAUUGAGGAGAUCUUAAUGUUGACUCAAGAGGAGAUGGGCCAACCAUUCUUUAAUCAUGAACACUUUGUUCAAGAAGAAGAAGAGUUGGUAGAACCCGUUGAGCUAGACAAAAAUGAACAACCUUCACCUCCUUUGAUAGAAUUAAAACCUCUUCCUUCUGGCCUUAGAUAUGUCUUUUUGCACAACAACCCAAAAACUCUAGUAAUUAUCAGUGACAAGCUUUCCGAUUAUGAAACACAACAACUUGUCACUGUUCUUGAAAGGCAUAGAUCAGCAUUUGGCUACUCUCUCGAAGAUCUCACUGGCAUUAGUCCCAUUCUCUGCACUCAUCAUAUCCCUAUUGAUCCCAAAUUUACACCUUCAAGGGAACCACAACGUAGACCUAACAAUGCUAUGCGAGAGGUUGUUAAAAAAGAGGUCCUCAAACUCUAUAAUGUUAGGAUUAUCUAUCAUGUGCCACAUAGUGAGUGGGUUAGCCCUGUCCAAGUAGUGCCAAAGAAAGGAGGAAUGACGGUCGUUAGGAAUGAGAAGAAUGAACUCAUCCCUCAAUGAAUUGUCACUGGGUGGCAUAUGUGUAUUGACUAUCGAAAACUCAACAAGGCUACAAAGAAAGAUGACUUUCCGUUACCCUUCAUUGAUGAAAUGUUGGAACGGCUUGCAAACCACUCUUUCUUCUGUUUCCUUGAUGGUUAUUCUGGAUAUCACCAAAUCCCAAUCCACCCAGAUGACCAAGAAAAGACUACCUUUACAUGCCCGUAUGGAACUUAUGCAUACCGACGAAUGUCGUUCGGAUUGUGCAAUGCUCCAGCUUCUUUCCAACGGUGCAUGGUGUCUAUUUUCACGGACAUGAUUGAGAAGAUCAUAGAGGUUUUCAUGGAUGAUUUUACCGUCUAUGGCAAAACCUUCGAUCAUUGUUUGGAGAAUUUAGAUAGAGUCUUGCAGCGAUGUGAAGAAAAGCACUUAAUCAUGAACUGGGAGAAAUGCCAUUUUAUGGUUCAGGAAGGAAUAGUGCUAGGACAUAAAGUGUCCGAACAUGGUAUAGAGGUGGAAAAAGCAAAGAUUGAAGUUAUUGAAAAACUUCCACCUCCCACGAAUGUGAAAGGAAUCCGUAGCUUUUUGGGACAUGCAGGGUUCUAUAGACGCUUUAUUAAGAACUUCUCUCAAAUUGCUAGACCCCUAACUAGUCUCCUAGCUAAGGAUGCACCUUUCAUCUUUAGUGAUGAGUGUCAUGAAUCUUUUCAAACUCUUAAGAAAGCACUCAUCUCAGCCCCGAUUAUCCAACCACCUGAUUGGAAUUUUCCUUUUGAGAUCAUGUGUGAUGCUAGCGAUUUUGCGGUUGGUGCCGUUUUAGAACAAACCAAGGAUAAAAAGCAUUAUGCCAUAUCCUACGCUAGCAAAACCUUAUCUAGACCACAGCUCAAUUACACUACAACUGAAAAAGAGCUUUUGGCUGUUGUCUUUGCUAUAGACAAGUUUAGAUCUUACUUAGUGGGGGCAAAGAUAAUCAUCUAUUCAGACCAUGCUGCUCUCAAGUACCUCCUCACUAAGAAAGAUGCUAAGCCUCGUCUAAUUCGAUGGAUUCUUCUACUCCAAGACUUUGACAUAGAAAUUCAAGAUAGGAAGGGAGUAGAGAAUUCCAUAGCCAACCACUUGUCUAGGCUUCAAUAUAAGGAAACACAUGAUGAGCUUCCCAUAAAUGACUACCUAAGGGAUGACACCCUGCUCUAGAUAACACAUGCAGAUCCAUGGUACGCAGACAUCGUAAACUUUAUAGUAAAAGGCUAUGUCCCACCUGGUACAAAUAAAAGGAAGUUGCUUCACGAUAGUCGUUUCCACCUUUGGCAUGAGCCAUAUCUUUUCCGAGUCUGUGCUGAUGGACUCUUGAGAAGGUGUGUUCCUAUGGCUGAGGCUACUCAAAUUUUGGAAAGAUGCCAUGCCUCGCCAUAUGGAGGACACUACGGAGCAUUCCGGACACAUGCUAAAAUUUGGCAAAGUGGCUUUUUCUGGCCAACGAUGUAUGAAGAUACAAAGGACUUUGUCAGGAGAUGCCACCGAUGUCAAAAACAUGGGAAUAUCAACUCACGAAAUGAAAUGCCUCUCACAAAAUAAUCUUCUAGUAGAACUUUUCGAUGUAUGGGGCAUUGAUUUCAUGGGGCCAUUCCCUAUGUCUGGGAAUUGCGAGUAUAUCUUAGUAGCUGUGGACUACGUGUCCAAAUGGGUAGAAGCCCUACCUUGUCGAUCAGCUGAUUCAAAACAUGCCAAGAGAAUGUUCCAUGAAGUAAUUUUUCCUCGCUUUGGUAUGCCCUGGAUAGUUAUAAGCGAUGGAGGUUCGCACUUCAUCGACAAAAUCUUCCAGAAGUACCUAGCCGAUCAUGGAGCUCGACACAAUGUCGCAGCACCAUACAAUCCUCAGACUAGCGGUCAAGCCGAAACCUCUAAUAAACAAAUCAAAAAUAUUUUACAAAAGACCGUAGAUGAGAUGGGUAAGGGGUGGAAGGACAAACUUCCUGAUGCACUUUGGGCAUAUAGAACUGCAUUCAAAACACCCAUAGGCAUGUCACCUUAUCAACUUGUAUAUGGAAAACUUGUCAUUUGCCUGUGGAAGUAGAGUUUAAAGCUCAUUGGGCACUCAAGAAAUGGAACAUGGAUCUCCACCUCGCUAGCGAGAAUCGUCUGAUGCAACUAUCUGAGCUAGAAGAAUGGAGAGAGAAAGCCUACCACAAUUCAAGGAUCUAUAAGGAGAGAACAAAAUGAUGGCAUGAUAACAGAAUCACGCACAAGGAGUUUAAGCCUGGAGAUAAUGUUCUACUAUUUAAUUCUAGAGUUAAGCUCUUUGGGCAUGGUAAGCUACGAAGUAAGUGGGAUGGACCACACAAGGUUAUUGACACUUCAACUCAUGGAGCCAUUACCAUCCAAGACGACAUAGGUAACACUUUUAAGGUAAAUGGUCAACGCUUGAAAAUCUAUCUGGAGCCACAAAACAACCUGGUAGAGGAACUUGAUGUGAUUGAGUUCAUAGAAUUCUCACAUUAAGCUCUCAUAAGCUCUAGACAAUUACCUAACCCUUAAUAUGCUCCACAAGUUUUGUUGUCUAUUUGGGUUGUGCAGGAUUUUGAGGCUUAAGAAGAGUGAGACCGAACAUGCAGGCCACAAGAGUGAACGACUAUGUCAACAUCCAGCUUGGGGGAGACACCCCCACAUGUAUCUAGAUAAGUAUUACUUUUCUUUCUUGGUUUUAUUUACUAGUAUUCGGAAAUAAAUAAAAAAAUGCAUGACCAUGAAACCAAACAAAAAAUUUCUUUUGAGUAAUAUACAAUAGUUUUGUGUAAUCCUAAGUUUUAAAUAAAAUAAAAAGAAAGUUUGAUCCAAGUCUAGGUAAUUGACAAACAUGAUAUGAGAAGGUCUGAGCUACUAUUUAACUUGUUCCAAGUUUCGCUAGAGUUUUGGAGAUUUUAUCUUUUGAAAAUCUAAAAAAAGAGAGAUCCUGUUUGACAUAAUACCUAGAGUCUUAUAAGAUAUAAAUAUUAAAACUGUGGGCACUUACUUUGUUCAAGCCAUUGUUAAUUCUUGUAGUUUUGGUUGAGAGAACUAUCAUGCUCCAAAGAUCAAGAUCUUUUUGUUUUAAAAAUAUAAAAGAUUCACUCUUCCGAAGUAUUAUUACGUUAGAGGCAUGGGACUAUGCAAAAAUUUGAUUCGAAAAAAAAGAGUGAGACGAGAGGUAAAAAUGGACAAGUGUCCGAAGUAGAAUUAGGGGUACAAAGAUACCCACUUGAGUGGAAAAAAUGGACACGUGUCCGACAGUAGAAUUAGGGGUACUUGGUGCCCACUAGAAAAAAAGAAAAAAAAAGAAGAGGGAUAUUGAAAAAAAGAAAGAAAAAAAUGAUAGCCCAUGGUCCCUCUAAUAAGCAAUAUGCCAGUAAGAGAUGACAAACUUUUCAAAAAGGUCAAAGGUCUUGAUCUAGGAGUAUGACAUUCCUCUCCCUUGCUCCGAGCAUUGACAUUCCAAAAUGCAAAGUAAGUAUGCUAAAACUUUUAAAGCUCUACUUAUAUAUAUUUCGAGAAGAAGGCAAAUGCCUCAGCUUUAUUUUGGAAACUUACAAAAAAAACUCCAGAACAAAGGUAAGACAGAAGAACUUGAGACAUAGUGCUUGACUUGAUCGUUCUGUUUUUCAAUCACUUAAGACUUUAGUAAUAACUUAAAAACCCUGUAGUAAAAGGCAUAAAAGUAACCCCUGUUUUCUUGCUGAUUUUAGCUUUGCUCAGGGACGAGCAAAUGUUAAGCUUGGGGGAGCUUGUUGACGAUCCUUAAUGCUCACAUUUAACCGUCAACUAAUCAUGGAAAAGGAUUCAAAUGUAACCAACACCCAGACUUAGGAUUUUAUCUGACAUAAUUCCACGAGUUUUGGUGUUUGUCUAUUUCUACAGGGGGUUAUCAGGAAAUACGAAGGAAAGGCCCACACAUUGGGUUUACAUAGAGAUAUUAACGUGUGCGAUAAUUUUCUAUCAUCUAGAAGACUCCAGAAGCCACGGGAACGAAGCGGAGGCAGAACAGGGCCUAGCCCAGGGCGCCCGCCCUCCUGUAGUGCCCAAUCAGGGUCAACUUCGUGGAUCAUGCUCCACUGACCUAAGGGAUCAAGGAAAACCGUGCGAUUAAUGUCGGUUUGAUCCGAUGGCCCACAUUCAUUUGGAAGGACUAUAUAAGCAGCCCCCUGGCCCCUGGAGAAGAUACCUCUUCUACAGAAUCAAAGCUAGGGUUUCAAUUAUUUAUCCAAGUAGAGAGGAUCCCUCUAGUUCAUCUAGUUCUAGUUCUAGUUCUUCUAGUUCUAGUUCUAGUUCUAGUUAGUUAUAGUUGUAAUCUAGAAAAUAGGGAGAGAGAAGAGGAGAGCGGAGGAGGAGCCGGAACUAUCGGAUCUUCCUCAACAAUAUACUUUUGCUGCAACUGGUUAGUUCUUCAUCGUUCUCCAAGUUCUUCAUUUCAUAAUUCCUGAGUUCUUUAAUUAAUUUUAUUUACAUUCAAGUUAUUUAUUGGAUUCCUGCUUGCAUCAAGUGCUCUAGUCUUUAUAACGCUAGAUUAGUAAUUAAAAGAUUAGACGUGGUGUUCAGUCUUGCAAUUACCUGGAAUUGCACCCAAUCGUGCGGAUUGUUGUGGUAACCCUAGGGUAGUGACAGCCCUAACGGUCGUCGUAUUCCACCUCGUUCGGAUCGGUGUUUGUAGGACCGUAGUCAGAGCUUCCUAGCCCCCUUAUCAUAUCUUUGUGUGGUUAGUGUUCUGAUGUCCCGAAAUAAAUAAUCUUUGAAGUAAUUCUUGAUUCUUAGAUCAACUAGAGAACUCUCAGGAAACUUCCUCUCUUCCCACCAAAAAUAAUUAUAUAGUUAUCCUUGGGCGAUCUUGAAUCUUAAUUAGUACACUCACGUUCCCUAUGGAAAAUCGAUACUCUGGAAUACUCCCGGGUGAAAGCUACAUCGGUAUCCGUGCGCUUGCGGAUUUUUCUGUUUGCGUUUAAAAUACCCAACAGCAAACUAGAAGCAAGCCAUGGAGAAGUGCAAAGUGAUGUUGACCCGCAUGGUGGAGGAACGUGUUGGGCAUUCUUAACGUCAUUACCAAAAGAAGACUUAGAUUUCUAGUUCUGAUAGCGGCGCCAAAAAAAUGCCGAACCUAUCCCUCAUGCCACUUAAGCCAAGUUGUCAUCCCCAGCAUGACAUGAGAGACGCGGUAUUGAAAUAUGCAAUUGCUCUUCUAGAUUAAUAAUAAAUGAGAUCUCCAAGCGUACAGAUUAAUACCAAUGUAGCAUUUUAACCGGGAAGUAUUCCAGGUAUCGUCAUUUAUAUUUUUGCCAUUGGGAAGGGAUUGCUAAUCAUCAAUAUUGAUUAUGGAAUGAAAUAUGAAAUUGAGUAUCUAUCAUUGCAUGUAUAAUAGAGAGCAAUUAUCUAUCUCUUUCAUACAGUGAUAAAUGUCACAUAAAAUAUAGAUAAAGUAUGAAUGGUGACAAAGAUAAUUAAUCUAAUCAGCAUAACUAGCCACAUAUAAUAAUCAUAAGCGCCUCAACAGAUAUUCUAGCAAGUCAUUAGCAUGGAAUUAGGAUGAACUACAAGAAUAUUUCCUAAGUUAUUCUUAACUAUAAAGUCUAGCAUAUCACAGUUAGUGCAAUUAUACUUGGCAAUCAUUGCGAGACAGGACUAUGCCCAUGCAUAGUCAUAUUAUCAAGGAAAAUGAGAAACAUAGCACUCACUCCCCUGUAACAAUGUUGUUCUGCCUACCCUAUACACGUGAGGGGGACUAUAUAAGAAUCAAUGGAGCUGUCACCACCACGAACUACCCCGCGAUCCGGCAUAUAGGGUAUAAUCGUAGAUAAUACGGUAUAGGCACCACGCCUACACAAUACUUAUCAUUUACCCACUGUACACAUGGAUAAACGCUAUACGAUCCUAAACAUGUAUAUAAUUCAAAUCUAACUAAGCUAAGCAUAUAACUAUGAUAAACUAAGAACAUUAUAAUUGCAAAUAUAAACAAGUAGAGCAAAGUCAUAAUUAAUAUAUUGAAGUAGAAUAAAGUCAUAUUCAUAAUAUUGAAGAACAAUGAUGAACAAAUGAAGAACAGUAGAGGAAUUACCAAGAAUCCUCUUAACAGAUUCGGAAACCAAUCGAAGAUUGAAUCCUUCUAGUUCUAAUCCUAUGUAGCUAUGCUAAACUAGAGAUCUUGUUGAUGUGGUGGCUCUAGGGCUUGAUCAGAGACUUCUUCUCUCGAGAUGAAUGAAUGAAUUAGGGUUUUAGAGAUGCCUUCUCCAAGGGCCAGGGGGCCUGCUUAUAUAGUCCCUCCAAAUGAAUAUGGGCCGUCGGAUCAAACCGACCUUAAUCGCAAGGUUUUCCUUAAUCCCUUAGGUCGGUGGAGCAUGAUCCGCGAGGUGGAGCCUGAUUGGCUCUUAGGCCAGGGCGGGCGCCCUGCCCCCGGGUUAGCUCAGUCUCCCACUCGUUCCAGUGGCAUGUGGACUCUUCUAGAUGUUGGAUAAUUGUGGUGCACGUUAAUAUCUCUAUGUAAACCCGACGUGUGUGCCUUUCCUCCAUAUUAACUGAUACCCCCCUGCAGAAAUAGAUAAACACCAAAACUCGUGGAAUUCUGUCAGAUAAAACCCUAAGUCUGGGUGUCGGUUGCAUUUGGAUCCUUUUCUCUAUUUAUUUGCUGAUUAUAUUUGAUACUUAAGGACCGUCAACAAACUCCACCAACCUUACCUCUUGCUAAUCCCUGAGCAAGGAUAAUCUCAGUGAUGGACCAGAAGCUGUUGUAAUGCCUUUAAAAGUUGACGGUACACAUGCUUUCAAAUGAGGUCUCAUCUCUGAGUUAGAGUAAACUGUCAAGACUUAAAACUUACUCAUUUUACCUUUUACCAUGGGACUUGUAACCGUCACUUCUGCCUUGAGCAGUUAAAAGAUAGAACGGACUAGUCAAGUGCCAUGUCUCUUAUUCUUGAUCAGCUAUACCUCUAGAGUUUUUGUAGAUUUUCAAAUAAAACUCAGAGAUUCCUUGUAUGUCUCUCUUAGAUCUCUCUUUUGUAGUAUUUCUGGAUCCUUACCAAGGCAGUGAUGGUAUAUGCCUUCUCUCAAAGUACGUAGUAUUUGUGGUAUGAAGCAUAGUGACCUUGCCUUCUCUCUCACCCUACUUAAAUAAGGCUAUCUAGAACUCAUAGGUGGGAGAUAGAGUAUACAUACUUACAAGACAUUUAUUGCAUAGUCAAACCAUGGAUCCAGAGAAACAAGUCAAUAAGUCAAAUCAAGAUGUGCAUGUGUAGCGAAUGAAUAGUGUAUGGUGAUGAUGGUGAUAACAAUGGUGAAAGUCUUAUUCUACUUUUGCUCUUUUGAGGGGAUACAUACCUUUCUUGCUCUUUUGAAACUUUUUGAGGAGAAUGAGAUGUUCUACAUUUUUUUUUCUUUCCUCUCAGGUGGGUGUUGCACCUCUAAUUCUACUGUCGGACACUUGUCCAUUUUUACCCCUCAUCUCACUUUUUCUUUUCUUUCGAGGUUCCGGGCACUUGCCCCUUUUUAUUUCCUUGUAUCUCUUUUUUUCUUCUUUUUUUAGAGCACUCAUCUCCUGAAAUAAUAUAGCAAGUGGUAGUAACCAAGAUAACUUGAGUAUUUAUUUUACAGGGAAAACAUAAAUGUUUUUGGUUAUUCUCUGCCGGAUUAGGAGUAGAAUAGUUUUGGGUGGUUCUAGAGAUGAAAAUGGGUGGAUAUAUGUAGAUGCGUACUUCCGGAGUAGAAGCAGCAUGUGUGAGUGAACGUGCAAGUGAAUAUUGAUUUAACCACAUGACAAGCUCCUAAGGGUAUACACAGCUUGACCACACUCAAUGCUCAUAAGCAGUAAAAAGUAAAUGUGUGGCUCAAAAUCUAACAAGCAUGUAUAUAUGGCUGUGGUAGGAAUUUAAACUCUCACCAUACAUGAACUCAUCAUGUGAUAUUUUAAAGAUUUUCAAAGAUAAAAUUCUCCAGAAUUCUAGCCUCUCUAUGAACAGAUAAACAGCAGCUCAACCUUCCCAUAUCAUAUCCGUUAACAACUUGGACUUCAGAUCAAGUUCUCUUCCCACAAGUUCAGGUUUAGAGCAAGCUUUAAAUUAUAACGGUUAUGUCUAAACUAGAGAGAGAACUUCAAAUUUGAAAAUUAGCUAGAGCAAUUAUUCAUCAUAUCUAUGCUAGAGUUUUAUUAAGAUUUAGUUUAGCAUAGCCACUUUAUUUAUUUAUUAAGCACACUAAGCAAAAGAUAUAUAAGCACAAAAUCUUUAUUUGGUUUUUCAUAGUUAUGUAUAUAUAUUUUUUAUUUUAAUAUAGUAUAAGUAUAAAUGUAGAUAGAAAUACUUAGCGGGAUAAAUGGGGGUGCUCUCCCGCAAGCUGAAUUUUGACGUAAUUUCUUCUGAUGUGGCUAGCAGGUGGCAGAGGUGUAGUUGAAUGUCGGCAGCACCCUGACAACGAUUAGAAUGUCCUCCGUCUGCUAGUCUUCUUGAUUCUUGAAUUCUGUGGAGCUCAAAUAGACAACAAAGCUUUGCGGAACUAAUUAAGUGUUAGCAUAAAUAUCUAGCCUUUAUCAUGUUGAGCUUCCUCAAUAAAUACUACUUGCUUUGGUAAGAUCAUAAUUUUAUUUUCAUAUUUUUAUAGAGUAGAAGAAUAUUUUUAUUUUAUUAUUUUUUAUGCCACCACAAUGAAUGUACUUAUGGAUUUUAUGCCACUUGUAAACUCACAUGAGGCUUACUGGUUUUAACAUUUUUCUUUUUCUUUUUAAGAUGAUAUGAACCUGAUUAACUUGAACUAGCUAUUUUUAAGAAAAAGUAAAUGAUUUGAAAGGAAAGGGAUAUCUACCAAGUUUACCUCUUGGCAAGGCGUUCGGUGUUUUUAAGUCCUCCGAAUGGGACUCUCUGGUUUCUCAGUCGUCCUGGGAUUUGCUGGAUGGCGUAGUCGGUGGUUUCGGCAGCGCCUCCUCUUCGCGUAUAACUAUCUUCUCUCUCCACACCUGACUCGGUGCCACGGUCUCUUUAGGAUAGUUCUGUUCAAGCUGUAUGUUUUCAAACCUUACUACUUCUCCUUCGUAGUCUGCUCAUCCGUCCUUGAUGAUUUGCCUCCUCUGGUUGCGGUUGCGUCGUCUUCUUCUUGUCCUGACCUGCUUAGAGUCUUCAACUAUAUAAUUAGGGUCAGUAAAAUAGCGGCGUACCUUCUCAGAGGGGAAGUGCAUAUGGACUUCUCCGGUUCCAAUGUAGAUGAUCGCUUUAACGAUGCUGAGGAACGGUCUCCCAAUGGUGAUGGAUGGAUCGUACUCGUCUUCUCCCAUGUCAAUAACCUGAAAAACUGUAUGGACAAAAUGAUCGUCUAUUUUGACAGGGACAUCAGUUACUAUACCUUCAACCUUUCAAAAUGUCUAAUCUGCCAUCUGGAGCUUAAUGUAUGUUGGUUUUAGGGGCAUGGUUCCGAACAAGAGCCGAUAGGUGACUGCGGCCAUUAUGUUGACGCCCGACCUGGUGUCGCAAAGCGACUUGUAGAAGUUGUACCCAAUAAUGGAGCACUGGAUGCUUGGCAUACCUGGGUCGUCCUUCUUGGUCAGGAACGGUGACUUCAGUCGACGAUCUUGACCUCCUUAAACUGCAGUGACCAUCUUAGUUGACUCGGUCCACACUUGCUUGUUCUUGUUCCUCCUGUUGGUCCUCUUCCUUGGUUCUUGUUGGGAUUGCUCUGGGAUUUGUGUAGACUUGUUCUUGAAGGAAAAUGUCUCCUUCCUCCCUUUGAUGUAGAAACUCAUCUUGGCAGCACUAGCGUAGAUGACAGCUCCCGAGGUGUUCAGGAAUGGCCUCUCUAAGAUGAUGGGUGCCCUCUCAUCAUUACCGGUCUCUGUCACCACGAAGUCUGCUGGGGCGUAUAAGGUACCGACUCGGACGCAGAGGUUCUUCAAUAUCCCCUUUGGGAAACUUAACGUCUGAUCUGCAAGCUGCAAACACAUGGUUGUUUCUAGUAAAGGAUAUGUAAAGAAUUUUUCAUAGAGUACCCUGGGCAUAAUGUUGACACUAGAGCCAAAGUCGCAGAGUGAUUCUGGGAAGUCCACCAUGCCGAUGCAAAUCAGGAUGACGGGGCGUCCUGGAUCGCCUCUCUUGAUCGGCAGAAGGUCUGUAGUAACUUCUGCAAUGGGGUUACUUCAGUAGUUACCUGUAUCAAACAUGUCUACAAGAUUUGCAGAUUCUAAUCCUUUCGGUUGUGAUGGUAUACCAGGGUUAGUAGCAGGAACAGCAACAGCUAUUCGAUUUAAGUGAGAUUCAAUCAUUUUAUUAAAGCUAAUUUGAUUCAAUCUGCAAGCUGCAAACACAUGGUUUAUUAAAGCAUUAGAGAAAUUAUGCAUUCUAUUAUUUAUAUUUUCUAACAUUUUACCAUUGGAUACCAAUUUCUUAGAUAGGUUAUCCAUUAGCUUUCCAUGAUUAGACACUAACUCUCUCAGAGGUGGAAAAAUUAUUAUUAUUAUUGUAAGAAUUGUUACCUUGAUAAUUACCUGAGUAGUUAGGCCUCUGUUGAUUCCAACCUUGAUUUUGCUGAGGACGGUGGUAGUAAUUGUUGUUGUUGUUGUUGUUGUUGAUGUAGUUUACGUCCUCAAGCAUCUCAGGGCAGUGAUUGCCUGAGUGUCCAGUAUCUCCACACUCCUCACAAGUCAUGUGAGAGUUGUAGACGUGCAUGACUUCCUUCUUAUCUCCAGCUUUAUCAUCGAGCUUCUUCAUGAGCAGGUCUAGCUUGCGUGUCUGGGUCCUUUCUUCAUUCCAACCUUGGUUGGACGCCAUCUUCUCUACAAGAGUUGUGGCUUGUGGUAUGGUGAGUGAUAGGAAUGCUCCUCCAGCUGCAGCAUCCAUGGUCUCACGGGCACUAUUGCCGAGCCCAUGAUAAAACGUCUACAUCAGUAGCCAGCUCUCCAUUCCAUGAUGGGGACAUUCUAGGAUGUUGUCUUGGAAGCGCUCCCAUGCUUCUCGAACGGAUUCAUCAUGUUGUUGUUGAAAACUUGUAAUUUUCCCACGGAGAGCAUUGGUCUUGCCCAUGGGAAAGAACUUAGCCAGAAAGUUCGUGGAGCAGAGUGCCCACGUAGUAUUCUUCUCAUUUGUAGCGUAAAACCACUGCUUCGCUCUCCCCAACAUUCACUCUUGACAUGGUGAAUGUGCUGCAAAUCUCCAGGAAGUGUUGGAGAUGAGCACUAGCAUCUUCAUACGCCUUUCCACAGAACUGGUUGGCUUGCACCAUGUUGAUGAGCCCUGGCUUGAGAUCAAAGUUGCAGUCGAUCUUUGCAGUAGGUCCAGUGCAGAUGUUGUCCGUAGUGGGAGCUAAGAACUCGCGGAUCGAUUUGUUCGCCAUGACUUCGAACUCUGAAGACAAGUUUCGGAUGAAACUUCGGUGGUCUUCCUGGUUGGAUGAAGCUUCGUGCUGAAGUGUUGACGAUGUCUUCUUGAGCUUGGCUCUUCUUUUUCUGAAUAAUGCUUCGGGGUUGUCAACAAAAUUUCUUGGAAGAUGUCUUCUAUUCAUACAUUACCCUGCAUAAAAUACUAAAAAAUAGCAAAAUAUAGGGGUAAAGUUGUACGAGAGAAUUGAUGAUCUCAAUCAUAUUAGUGAUGCGAAUGAUGACUCAUUAUUCUGUAUUCAUUCCUUAUUAGUCAUCAACCUUCCCCGGCAACGGCGCCAAAAAUGCUUGUUGGGCAUUCUUAACGUCAUUACCAAAAAUAGACUUAGAUUUCUAGUUCUGAUAACAGCGCCAAAAAAUGUCGAACCUAUCCCUCAUGCCACUUAAGCCAAGUUGUCAUCCCCAGCAUGACAUGAGAGACGCGGUAUUGAAAUAUGCAAUUGCUCUUCUGAAUGAAUAAUAAAUGAGAUCUGCAAGCGCACAGAUUAAUACUGAUGUAGCAUUUUAAUCGGGAAGUAUUCCAGGUAUCGUUAUUUAUAUUUUUACCACUGUGAAGGGAUUGCUAAUCAUCAAUAUUGAUUAUGGAAUGAAAUAUGGAAUUGAGUAUCCCUCAUUGCAUGUAUAAUAGAGAGCACUUAUCUACCUCUUUCAUACAGGAAUAAAUGUCACAUAAAAUAUAGAUAAAGUAUGAAUGGUGACAAAGAUAAUUAAUCUGAUCAGCAUAACUAGCCACAUAUAAUAAUGAUAAGCACCUCAACAGAUAUUCUAGCAAGUCAUUAGCAUGGAAUUAGGAUGAACUACAAGAAUAUUUCCUAUGUUAUUCUUGACUAUAAAGUCUAGCAUAUCAUAGUUAGUGCAAUUAUACUUGGCAAUCAUUGCGAGACAGGACUACGCCCAUGCAUAGUGAUAUUAUCAAGGAAAAUGAGAAACAGAGCAAUCACUCCCCUAUCAUAAUGUUGUUCUACCUGCCCUAUACACGAGAGGGGGACUAUAUAAGAAUCAAUGGAGCUGUCACCACCAUGAACUACCCCGCAAUCUGGCAUAUAGGGUACAUUCGUAGAUAAAUACGGUAUAGGCACCACGCCUACACAAUACUUAUCAUUUACCCACUGUACACAUGGAUAAACGCUAUACGAUCCUAAACAUGUAUAUAAUUCCAAUCUAAUUAAGCCAAGCAUAUAACUAUGAUAAACUAAGAACAAUAUAAUUGCAAAUAUAAACAAGUAGAGCAAAGUCAUAAUCAAUAUAUUGAAGUUGAAUAAAGUCAUAUUCAUAAUAUUGAAGAACAAUGAUGAACAAAUUAAGAACAGUAGAGGAAUUACCAAGAAUCCUCUUGACAGAUCCGGAAACCAAUCGAAGAUUGACUCAUUCUAGUUCUAAUCCUAUGUAGCUAUGCUAAAAUAGAGAUCUAGUUGAUGUGGUGGCUCAAGGGCUUGAUCAGAGACUUCUUCUCCCAAGAUGAAUGAAUGAAUUAUGGUUUCAGGGGUGCCUCCUCCACGGGCUAGGGGGCCUGCUUAUAUAGUCCCUUCAAAUGAAUAUGGGCCGUCGGAUCAAACUGACCAUAAUCGCACGGUUUUCCUUAGUCCCUUAGGUCGGUGGAGCAUGAUCCACGAGGCGGAGCCUGAUUGGCUCUUAGGCCAGGGCGGGGACCCAAGGGGGGAGGGCGGGCGCCCUACCCCCGGGUCCGCUCGGUCUCCCACUCGUUCUCGUGGCUUCUGGACUCUUCUAGAUGUUGGAUAAUUGCGGUGCACGUUAAAAUCUCUAUGUAAACCCGACGUGUGGGCCUUUCCUCCAUAUUUCCUGUUAACCCCCUGCAGAAAUAGACAAACACCAAAACUCGUGGAAUUCUGUCAGAUAAAACCCUAAGUCUGGGUGUCGGUUGCAUUUGGAUCCUUUUCUCUAUUUAUUUGCUGAUUAUAUUUGAUACUUAUGGACCGUCAACAGAAAGUAACACAGCUGUUGCCUGGGAGGAAGAGGCUAGGCGUAAGCAUGUGCAUGAGUUGACCCACACAAAGGCCAAGCUGUCUAAAAGCAAGUAUACUGAGGGAUUAUACAAAAAGAUGGUAGCCACCGUCACUGCUCAGAGGGAUGUCGCUUGGCAAAGGGAAGAUCAACUGCAGCUUGAGAAGCUUGAGUUGGCACAUCAACUGGCUGCAGUCAAUGACAUGGCAAUGCAAUACCAUGAUAUUGCAUUUGAUUUCUAUAACUAGCUUCAUCCGCCUCUAGGGGACGGGGAGAUGGAUACUGAUGGAGAGUUAGCGGAUGGAGGAGAGCCUGAUCAAGACCCUAGUAGUGAAGAGGAACAAGAUUCUGGGGACAGCAACCCAAGGGGAUGACCAUGGGGACAACUACGACGACCCUGGCUAUGUGUCCGACCACACCGACCAGCCUGGUGGAGUUGCGAGCGCCAUAAUUGUAGAUCUCCCUAGAAUACCUUAGUUGGGUCGGGUUCAUUAGUGUGGUGUGCUUUAAGUUUAUAAAAGUUGUAAUCAUUUUUUAAGCAUGUUGAACUGUUUGAUGUGUUUUGUUUAAUAAAUAAGUAGAGUCAUGUAAAAUAUGUUUAUGAGUUAUAGACAUUAAGAGGCAACAAAUCAAAUAUAACAGUGUGACAGAUUCCGAUGUGUACCCGCAGAUCUGAUGAAGCUGGAACCUCCCAGGGAGGGGAGGGUAUCCCCAACCCUCCACCUGCUCCACCUUCUUUGGCUGAUGCUAUUGCAGUCCUCCUCAGUGCCACCACUGACAAUGCCCGUCUGUUGUGCGAGUUGGCGUAGUGACAUACAAAUCCUCCCGCAAAUCUCCGAGCUCAUAAUAACCCAGAGGGAGAGACCGGUAUGUGGACUUCACUAAAACUAGGCCCCCAGUUUUUACCAAGGCAGACGAACCUUUGGAUGUUGACGACUGGCUCCGAACAAUGGAGCACAAGUUUAGCCUGAUUCGCUGUUCAGAAACUUAGAAGCCUCUCUUCGCCACCCAGCAACUUUGGGGAGCUGCAGCGGCAUGGUGGGAGAACUUUCUUGCAAUCCAGAAUCCUAGGCAUCAGGUCACCUGGACAGAAUUUAAGGACGCUUUUCACGCCCAUUACAUUCUAGAGGGUCUGAUGACAAUGAAGGCAGAAGAGUUUCUCGCCUUGCAACAAGGCGAUAAGAGUGAGAUGGAGUAUGUGGCCAAGUUUAAUCAUCUUUCUCAGUAUGCCCCCGAUCAUGUGAACACGGACAGGAAGAAAAAGGCAUGCUUCAUGCGUGGCCUAAACACUAAGCUGCUAACAAUGAUGACUACCUAUCAAAGUGCCACAUAUUAUGAUGCCGUGAACAUUGCUAUCGCCUCAGAGGAGAAAAAUAGAAAACAUAAGGAAGCCAAGAAGAAGGUUGUCCUCCACUUUCUCUGGUCAUGCCAAAAGCUCUAGAGAAUUAUUUAUCAUCCUCAGAGCAACAGACGCUUCCCUACACAGUCACCUUUUCAUGGUUCUUUUUCUCCCCCAGAGUACCGACCUAGGCAGCAGGUUUACCCUAGGCCUACUGCCAUCCCUGCAGCACCAUGCCAGCUGAAUGCCCCAGGCAUUCGUCCUUCCGCUCCGCAGAACCACAAUUAUCCCUGUUAUAAUUGUGGCAAACCCGGAUAUUUCUCCAAGGAAUGCCUGUACCCCAAACAGUAUAACCUAAAUUUCCAAAGGCCGCCUGUCGGCUAACCACAGCAUAGCCAGUUCAAGAACGUGGCUCAAAAGGGUCCAAAUGCACAAAGGGGAAACACACAAAAAAGGUUGGACAAGUCUUUCACACAGAUGUAGAAACCAUACCAGAAGGCAAGCCGGUGAUGAUGGGUAUGUUUUCUGUUGCUAAUCAUCCUGUGUUAAUGCUUUUCAUUUUGGGUGCAUCCCAUACCUUUAUCAAUCGCACCUUUGUGGUAAAGCAUGAAAUACCCAUCGGGGAAACUAAAGAUCAUUUCUAUAUACAGUCGCUAGGGGGACAACUAAGUUCCAAGGAAAUGGUCUAUGAGAUACCCGUCGAAUUUAGUGGGCAUAGUUUUCCCACCAAUAUGAUUGUUCUUAAAGAUCAAGAUAUUGAUGUUAUACUAGGCAUGAACUGGAUGGCACAACAAGGGUUUGUGCUAGACAUCCUGCAAAGAACUAUCCAGAUGCAAUUGCCCAAUAGUAACUCUUACCUCCUAAUCCAACUAGCCACUCCAAAACGGGCAAUUGAACAAGUUCAUGCCGCCACAGUAAAAGAAGUCGAAAAUAUCCAGGUAGUUCAGGAAUUCCUGGAUGUGUUUCCUGAUGACCUACCAGGUCUGCCACCAGACCGAGGUGUUCAAUUUAGCAUAGAAUUGAAACCAGGGAUAGCCCUAGUUUCUCGAAGAGCCUAUCGAAUGGCACCAAAGGAACUGGCUGAAUUAAAAACCCAAUUACAAGAGUUGUUGGAGAAGGGUUUUAUUCAACCCAGUUCAUCUCCAUGGGGUUGCCCAGCCUUAUUUGUGAAAAAGAAAGAUCAGACAUUAAGGAUAUGCAUUGAUUAUCGUCCCUUAAAUGAAGUGACGAUUAAAAAUAAGUAACCAUUUCCCUGCAUUGACCUGCGUUUGAUCAGUUAGCCGGGGCUAAAGUAUUCUCAAAAAUUGAUUUGAGAUCCAGGUACCAUCAGAUCAUGAUUAAGCCGGAAGAUGUUCCAAAGACGGCUUUCACUACCUGCUACGUGCUGUAUGAAUAUCUGGUGAUGUCAUUUGGCUUGACCAAUGCACCAGCUCACUUUAUGUACUUAUUGAACUCCGUCUUUAUGCUAGAACUAGACAAGUCUGUAGUCGUCUUUAUUGAUGACAUCUUGAUCUAUUCUAAAAUGAAGAAAGAACACGCUGAACACCUAAGGAUUGUGUUGACUCGCCUAAGAGAACAUCAGCUAUAUGCCAAGUUCAGCAAGUGUGACUUCUGGCUAGACAAAGUUCAUUUCCUACGCCAUGUAUUAUUAGUGGAGGGAGUCACUGUAGACCCAGGCAAAGUAGAAGAUGUCUUGAGUUGGAAGCCCCCUACUACGGUACAUGAGGUCCGUAGCUUUUUGGGUAUGGCGAGAUAUUACCGCUGCUUCAUUCCUGACCUUUUCAAGGGUGGUUAAGCCGAUCACGACCUUACUCAAGAAUCAAACGAAAUUUGUUUGGUCGUUCAAAUGUGUGCAGGCCUUUGAAACCUUGAAAAGGUUGUUGACCACUGCACCUGUGUUAGCACAGCCGAAUAUUGAGAAACCCUUUGAUGUGUAUUAUGACGCAUCAAGAAUAGGGAUAGGUUUUGUGCUGAUGCAGGAGGGUCGAGUGAUUGCAUAUGCAUCUAGGAAACUUAAGCCACACGAGGAGAAUUACCCGACCCAUGAUCUUGAGCUAGUCGUCAUAGUACAUGCCCUGAAGAUCUGGCGCCACUACCUGCUGGGAAACACUUGUCAUCUAUAUACAGAUUAUAAGAGCUUGAAGUACAUUUUUACUCAAGUCGAACUUCAUAUGUGCCAGUGAUGGUGGCUAGAAUUAAUCAAGGUCUACGAUCUUGAUGUGCAUUAUCACCCAGGCAAGGCAAAGGUAGCAGCGGAUGCCCUCAGACGUAAGGCUCACUGUAAUUGCUUGACAGUGACACCUAGAGAUAUAACUUUGUGCCAAGAGCUUGAAAACUUGGGAAUAGAGAUGAGUCCACAAGGGAGUUUGGCCAAUUUAAAGAUUGACUCCAAUCUUGAAGCUCAGAUCAUGAUGACACAAAAAGAAGAUAAGGGCAUGAAAUACCUCAAAGAGAAAUAGCCCACUAUGUAGCCCAGUGUGACACUUGUCGAAAAGUUAAAGCUAUUCAUCUCAAACCCACUGGGGAGUUGCAGCCCUUGCCUAUUCCAGCAUGAAAGUGGGAUGAUAUUAGCAUGGUGUCAGUGUUUUCCCCCCGGGGGGUCACACCAACGAGUAAAACUUGAAUGUGUGCUCUCUUUUCCAGAUGGUGAUGCAAGAAAGGACAAAAAGAUUUAUCCUGGUUUGGGCAAGAGAAGGCCCUACGUCCAGCGGGGGAGGAGAAUUUUGUAUUAUCUUGCACCUGAGUGCUUGUACAGGGGUGAAUACAAGAGUGGUAUGAACUCAGGUGGAGUGAGGUUGCUCUACUACGUAUGGCUUGUGUGUUGUGUCGCCUGUCCCGUAUCCGCUCACGGUCCUCCCCUUUUAUAGUUCCAAGGAGAGGCCCAGGGUACAUGCAUAGGUGACAGAGUAGGGGUCGGUAGAGGUAUGGCGCGCUGACCUGCUCGAGGCCUCCGUACCGGCGUGGGCUCGAGCAGUCUUGUCUUGGUACUUUGAUGAUGAUUACGCGUGCCCCUGAAUCCCGUUCAUGUAUGCCGUCCUGGACUGGUUUAUACGUUGCACGCUCGUAUGUCAAGGCAGCAGCUAUGUUGGAGUGGUAGGGGUGCCGUCAGUCGUCGCCCGAUCCUUCCCGGGGAAGGGAACAUGUCUACUCCAGGGUUAGACGCCGUGUAAUGCCUCGCGUGCCCGAGCGCUGACCUUGGACGUCUCGAGGGGGUCUUGACUAGACGUUUCGACCUACUCCCUGCGCUCUGCCAUGUCCUGGCUGGUUUUGUGGAGAAAGCUGCAAAAAGAAUGACAGGACCGGUGCCGGUCUGAUAUCACGCUUCCCGUGACUGUCGGGUUAGGUGAGAACAUGCCAGGCGCAUUUAAUGCCCUGGUUCCUGUGCCCGUGUUAGGCGGCGGGUGGCGUCCUUGUGCUCGAGGUCUCCUGAUUUGUACGAGCCUGUUUCCGUAUUCGACGGCAGCCGGCGCUCGAGCCUUGGUCGAUUCGCAGGACGCUCUUUCCAUGUUCGAGGCCACGGUCGUCGAGGACUGUGCGUAUGACUGGAUAGGGCGUCAAGUUGGAGGCCUCGACUUGCGUACGGAUGUUCUCAAUAUGCACGUCAGUUAGGGUACCCCUUACUGAUAUCCUCAACAGUAGCCCCCGAGCCUCCAUUCGAGCGCUUGCGCUCGAGUGGAGGCUAUAUUUUAUGGUUGGGUUUCCGUGGGGGCGCGCGAGCGACCCCGCGGGGGUAGACCCCGAGCCCUUAGCGGAGUUUUUGACUCCUUUGAGGGUUAUGUUACCUAGUCUGUGGAAGUGCUCUCAUCGUCCAUCAUGAAAAUGGGCUGAGAGCCGGGAUUGGUUUGUCUUGCGCAGGGGUCGCGACGUACUCCCGGUGGAGCGACCGUCGUCUCCCCCAGACUGAGCUCCUAGUGGGUAAUCCAAGUGAGAACCCGUGCCCUGUUCGAGGGGGUCGGCUGUAGCCCGGAGGCGUCCUCAUAAAGCAGGGUCGACGUGGUCGGGGAUACUGGUCUCGUUCGAUAGAGUCCAGCGGCUCGAUGCCUCCCUUCGGGGGGAUUCCUCUCGACCGUCUCGACCUUGCCUUGGACAUCCCUAGCGAAUUCUUGAGACGGGCCUCGAUGUUCGACCACUCGCUGGGCAUCCCUGACUCUGGCACUCGAGAUCGGCUAUCGAACCCAUUCGGUGGGUCAGCCGGUGACCUCUCGAGAUUUUAAAUGUGACGACUGCGUACCUUGGCUUACGAGGGAAGGAAGGAGCCGCGGCGGUUCACCUUUUUGCCCGUUGGGCGCGCCUUUUCAGGCGGGAGCUGUUGCGACACUGUAUCGGUGCGGAAUUCGUAGCGUCUCACCUGUGAGAGAGAUAAGGAUCGUUAGACGGCACAUUUAUGGGAGGAGUUACCGUAUCUAUCGGAUCUGUCCGUUGGUGGGCUGCCGUCUAUAAAUGCCCCGCGGUCUCGUUGUCGUCGCUCCUUCCGCCUUCUGCCCCCGCUCUUGCCUCAGCUUCCUUGCCAUCUCUCAUGCGCGCACCCUUGAGCAGUAGUGAAGUCGCCCUUCUCCCACCCGAAAAUGCCUAUGAGACUCAUCGCCGCCGAUGACUGGCGCCCGUCGUCGAUGACGGAGCGCCGGUUGCUGGAGCUCGAGAAGGAAGGACUCCUGUGCCCCCGCUCCUCGUCGUCGCGGCCGGAGUGGAUCGCGCCGGCGGCGCACCACCGGGAGCCAAGGCCGCCCAGGGGCUAUGUGGUCUCCUUCGCCAAAUGCCACCGCCACGGCUUGGGUUACCCUCCCAGUCGCUUCAUGCGGGCGCUCUGCCACCACUACAAGGUGGAGCUCCAGCAUUUCUCGCCAAACGCCGUCACCGCCGUGGUGGUCUUUGCUGCGGUGUGUGAGAGCUACCUGGGGAUGAUGCCCCACUGGGAUCUAUGGCUCCAUCUAUGUCGGGGCGAGCUCUUCAAUGCCCCCACUGGAACCAUAGGUGUGAGGAAGCCGGUACGGGCCGGAUGCCUCAACCCCGUGUUGAAGACUGGCAAAUCGGAGAGGCCGCGCGAGUACAACCCGGUGGGAUUGACAUCGAACCAUGCCGGAUGGGACUCCCAGUGGUUCUACAAACGGAAUGAUGACGACCUCCUUCCUGCCUACUGUUGACGGUCCUUAAGUAUCAAAUUUAAUUAUCAAAUAAACAAAGAAAAGGAUCCAAAUGAAAUCAACAUCUAGACUUAGGGUUUUAUCUGACAGAAUUCCACGAGUUUUGGUGUUUGUCUAUUUCUGCAGGGGGUUAUCAGGAAAUAAGGAAGAAAGGCCCACAUGUCGGGAUUACAUAGAGAUAUCAACCCACCGCGCAAUUUUCUACCAUCUAGAAGACUCCAGAAGCCACGGGAAGGAAGCGGAGCCCGAAAGGGGCCAGGCCCAGGGCGCCCGCCCUGAGGACCUAGGCGCCCGCCCCCCUCUGGACUCCGUUCCGAACUCUCUUCGCACACGACGUUCCACCGACCUAUUGGAUCCAGAAUAACAUAGUACCACCUCGCCUAUCGACCCAAAAACGCAUAGAAGGGGAGGACUAUAUAAGCAAGGCCCCCUGGCCCCUGGAGGAGACAAGAAAUUAUCAUAGAGAUUGAGGGGUGCCCUCGAAGUUAAACCUCUUCUCUAAAUAAUAUUUCUUUUUAGGCUUAGCAACCAAUGUAAAGUAGAAAUAGAUCUUCUAGUUUCUACUAGAUUGAGAGAGAUAGAGUGGAGGUGUGGAUCGGAGGAAGGCCGGCCUGUCGGUGUCUACUCCGAGUUGUACCUACAGGAUCAAGUCUCCUAACCCGAGGCUUGCUUCUAAGAUUCUUCAGUAAUUCGACUUCAAAUACUAGUAAGUUCUUGUUUUAUUGUUCUUUGGUUUAUGAGUUUACUUUAAUCCUCUUCCGGUUGAGUAUUAGAGUAAUCACUUGUUAGCGUAAACGUGGUGUUUAGGCUAGGGUACUCAUAGAUAUCCCCUGACUAGCUGGACCGUGGUAGUAGCGAGGAACGUGACAUUUCCGAGUUACCUUUGUAGAUCACAUCUCGUUAGCAGGACGGGUAGGUUUAUAGGUGCGGGUCGAACAUCCUUUGUGUUGUCUAGAUUCCGUGAGCCUCCCCAAUAGAACAGUAGAUCAUCCUUACCAAGGUUAGAACGAGACUACGGUUGCAGUCUUCUCUAUACAUCGCUCACAUCGAGAAACAUUCUUUGUAGCCUAAAGGGAUAAUAGCAAUAGAUUUGGUUAGUCAGAUGCACCCUUUCUCCUAGUGGUAAAAAUAUAAAUACGAUAACUCUGGAUAACCUCCCGGGUGAAAUGCUCACCGAUAUCCGUGCGCUUGCGGAUCAUUUUCUAAUUGCGUUACCAAAUAUCAACAAGCAUUUCUAGUGCCGUUGCCGGGGAGAAAGACGGUUUGCUGAGAUAACUUUGAGUCUUGCUAUUAUCUUGUAUUAUACUUUUAUACUUUUAUUCUUUUAUCUUUUUAUUUUUUCCAUCUUUAUGGAUAACUCAAAUUCCAUACCUAUAAUUAAAUUCUUUGCACCUUCAGAGACCAGCCAUAGACCAUGGGAGUCAACACGUUCUGCCCCUAAUUAUGAUCUGUGUCCGGAGUUGAUUGCAAUAGGUCAAAACCAACCCUUUUCUAUAGCUGAGGUCCUAUCUUUUAAUCAAAAAGAUAAUGCACUUUUAGCUACACCUAGGGAAUAUUUUAAUUUUUCUAUAAAUUCUGGUUUAGACCUAGCCCAACAAGACCAUGUUUUUCCUAGAUAUUUUCACAUUGGUCUUAAUCAUAUAACCUUUGGUAGAGUCAUUCUUUCUUUAUCUAUUAGUAAAGGAAGGUAUGUCUUCAUUUGUGGACAUCCUUCUUGUACUAGCCUUCAUAGAAUAAUCUUAGAGAUAGAGAAGGAAUCAUCUCCCAGACAAGGAGAGGAAGUUUCAAUAGCCGAUUUCCAAACAUUUCAAUCCCAUGAUUCGGCUAUCCAUCCCAUCCUUGAGCUUAAUAGUUUCUACUAUGCUCUUCCUCUUGAACCUCCCGAUAAUCCUAUGAAUCUUUCUAGACAUCCCAUGCAUAAGAAGGAGGAUCGAGAAGAGCAACAUCAAUAGCUAGAGGGCAUUAAAAAUCCAUGUGCUAUCACCAUUGAAUGGAUAGAUAAAACAAACUUGAGAGACAAUCCUAGAGGAAUUUUAAGCAUUCAUGAAGAAUCAUCCUUGGAGUUUGAGAAUGAGAGAAACAACAGUGAGCAUGGAAGUUAUUUCAUAAAUACCUUACCCAGUCCUUGCUCAUAUAAAACAUCUCUCCAAUCAAUUAGUCUCUCCAUCCUUAUCACAUUUGAGAUCUCCAACCCUCUCUUCUUUUCUAUUUAUAAAAACUUUAAAAGAGCGGUUGUCGAUGCAUAUGUCUAUAAUAAAUAUUGCAGAUCUCGUUGAGUUAAUUGAUGGUUUCCCAAGGACAAGCUUAGUGUCCUAAAACAAGAACUUCUAAUUAUUUGCAACAUUGCCUUGUGUAUUGAGCAUAUAAAGAUAAUUGUAGAAAUAUUCCUUCGGGUAUUCUUGCCACUAACCUUUCUAGGAUUGGAGCAAGAAGAUCGGAUGAAUGACAAGCGCAAGGUAUGCCCAACCAAUCAUCAUGCAACAUUAAUUUAAAUUCAUCCAAUCUUGAAUUUUGCAAAAUUCAAGCUUGGGGGAGUACUUUACAUAAAACAUCCUUUGCCAUGUUUCUAUGUUGGUUGUCCUUACCUUUGAGACAUGCUCAAUUUGUUAAAUACUAAUCACACUACUUCGUCUCCACUUGAGUAGAUCUCUAUAAAAGCCAUCAUGCUACCUUUGUUUAUCCUAGUAAGUGUUAGUUUGGAAGUACUGGUCACACUUCCAAUGGCAUUUAAAUUAAGCGUGGUGCUUAGGUUAAAUAGCCUUCCUUAAUCUGAUUAGACAUGGAGUCUAGUUUGGUUACUGAACUAAAAACUGCUUGAGUAGAUAUUGGUAUAUUUUGUUGGACUAACCCCUGUAGGAAAACUUUCAAUAUCAACCUGGGAAGUCCUGAGAUGCAAACUCAUUAGAGAUGAAGAAAGUGACACAUGAUGUUUAACAAUUUGCACAAGAAAGACGUAGCUCAUAAGAGAUGAUUCAUGGAGGGUGCCACAAACACGAUGCACAACCGCUAAGAAAGGAAAGCUUCCACAAGGUGAUACUGUACCAUCACUCUUCAAGUAAGGUAACAUCUUAAGUUACUUGACUAACACUUUUAUAAGCUCCUCCUUGGUUCUGGCAUUCACAUAAAUAAAGAGAAAAACAUGUAUGAAUUAUAACUCCAAAUUAACCAACUCAAUUAAUUCAACAUGUUUAGUCCUUUAAUCUUUGUUCUUAGUACUACCUUCGUGAUCCCACACUCCUAAUCAUAUAAGCUAAAAUGUUGCACAUUUAAAUCUUUGGAAGAUAUAAACAAAACAUAAAUAUAGAUAGAUUAUCUUUCCAUUAGGUUGAGCCACCUGAUCUAACAAAUGUUUUAAAUGCUACACUCAUGAUCCAUCAACUUUGUCUUGCUCACUAUGCUUAAGGUUAGAGAAGAACAAAUACACUUUUGGUUCUGUUGGUGUUUUCCACCAACAGGGCCCAUGCACUUGAUCUCUACCUUGUUUCUAUGAGCAAGAACACUUCGAGCAUAAUAUGAAGGAGUUUUACAACUCCUAGAUUCCACCAAGUGAAGAACUAGGAUCUACGAGCACAAACACACUGGAGAUACUGAACGCUCAGGCAAUCACUGCCCUAAGAUGCUUGAGGACGUGAACUACAUCAACAACAAUAACAACUAUUACUACAACCGUCCUCAACAACAUCAAGGUUGGAAUCAACAGAGGCCUAAUUACCCAGAGAGGUGAUCUAGGACGUCCCGUCAUCCCGAUCUCCAUCGGCAUGGUGGACUUCCUAGAAGCACUCUGCGACUUUGGCUCCAACGUCAACAUUAUGCCCAGGGUUGCAGAUCGGACACUCAGUUUCCCAAAGGAAAUAUUGAAGAACCUCUGCGUCCGAGUUGGUACCUUGUAUGCUCUAGCAGACUUCAUGGUGAUAGAGACUGGUACUGAGGAGAGGGCACCCAUCAUCUUAGGGAGGCCAUUCCUAAACACUAGAGCUGUCAUCUACGCUAAUGCUGCCAAGAUCAAUCUCUACAUCAAGGGGAAGAAGGAGACUUUCCUUCAAGAACAAGACUACACAAACUUCAGAGCAACCCCGACAUGAACCAAGGAAGAGGACCAACAGGAGGAACAGGAACAAGCAAAUGUGGACCGAGUCAGCUAAGAUGGUCACUGCAGUUCAAGGAGGUCAAGAUCGUCGACUCAAGUCACCUUUCUUGAUCAAGAAGGACGACCCUGGUGUUCUAAGCAUUGAGUGCACAAUCAACAGAUACUCUUUUCAGAAGACACUCUACGACACCGGAUCUGACGUCAACAUAAUGGCCGUAGUCACUUAUCAGCUCCUGCAUAAAACCAUGCCCCUACAACCAAUAUACAUUCAGCUAUAGAUGACUUUCAAGUUAUUGACAUGGGAGAAGAUGAAUAUGAUCCACCCACCAUCCUUGGAAGACAGUUCCUCAGCACCAUCAAAGCCAUCAUCUAUAUUGGAACCGGAGAAGUCCACAUACACUUCUCCUCUGAGAAGGUAUGCCGCUGUUUUACUGACCCUAACUAUAUAGUUGAAGACUCUAAGCAGGUCAGGACAAGAAGAAGACAUCGCAACCGCAACCAGAGGAGGCAAAUCAUCAAGGACGGAUGGGUAGACUACGAAGGAGAAGUGAUACGGACUAAAGACAUACCACUUGAACAUAACUGUCCUGAGGAGACCGUAGCACCGAGUCAGGUAUGGAGAGAGAAAAUAGUUACACACGAAGAGGAGGCGCCGCCGGAACCACCGACUACGCCACCUAGCGAAUCCCAGGACGAUUAAGAAAAUGGAGAGUCCCGCUCGGAGGACUUAAAAACACCGAACGCCUUGCCAAGAGGUAAACUUGGUAGUUAUCCUUUCCCUUUUAAUUAUUUCAAAUAGUUUAUUUAGUUAAUCACGUUCGUAUUAUCCUAGAAAGAAAAUAAAAAUGUGAAAAAAAAAACUGUAAGCCCCAUGUGAGUAGACGAGUGGCAUAAAACCCAUUAGUACAUUCACUGUGGUGGCAUAAAAAUAAAAUAAAUAUUUUUCUGCUUUAUAAAAACAAAAAUAUAAAAACAGGGAGUAAUAUUUAUUAAGGAGUCUCAACAUGAUAAAGGCUAGAUAUUUAUGCUAACACUUAAUCAGUUCCACAAGCUUUGUUGUCUAUUUGAGCUCCACGGAAUUUAAGAAUCAAGAAGACUAGCAGACGGAGGACAUUCUAAUCGCUGUCAAAAUACUGCUGACUUUCAUACACACCUCUGCCACCUGCUAGCUACAUCAAGAGAAAUUACGUCAGAAUUCAGCUUGGGGGAGAGCACCCCCAUUUAUCUCGAUAAGUAUUUCUAUCUAUCUUUAUACUUAUACUAUAUUAGAAUAUAAAUACAAAUAACUAUGAAAAACCAAAUAAAGAUUUUAUGAUUAUAUAUAUUUUGCUUAGUGUGUUUAAUAAAUAAAUAUAGUGGCUAUGCUAAUCUGUAUCUAAUAAAACUUAAGCAUGGAUAUGAUGAAUAGUUGCUCUGCCUAAUUUGCAAAUUUGAAGUUCUCUCUCAAGUUUAGAUAUAACUGUUAUAAUUUAAGGCUUGCUCUAGACCUAAACUUGUGGGAUGAAAACUUGAUCUGAAGUCUAAGUUGUUAACGAAUACGAUAUGGGAAGGUUGAGCUGCUGUUCAUCUGUUCCUAGAGAUGCUAGAAUUCUGGAGAAUUUUAUCUUUGAAAAAAAUCUUUAAAAUAACACAUGAUGAGUUCCUGUAUGAUGAGAGUUUAAAUUCCUACCACAGCCAUAUAUACAUGCUUGCUAGACCUUGAGCCACACAUUUACUAUUUACUGCUUAUGAGCAUUGAGUGUGGUCAAGCUGUGUAGACCCUUAGGAGCUUGUCAUGUGGUUAAAUCAAGAUUCACUUGCACGUUCACUCAUACAUGCUACUUCUACUCCGGAAGUACCAUCCACAUAUAUCUACUCAUUUCCAUCUCCAAAACCACCCAAAAGUAUUCUACUCCUAAUCCGGGAGAGAAUAACCAAAAAUAUUUCUGUUUCCCCUUGUGAAAUAAAUGCUCAAGUUAUCGUGUUACUACCACUUGCUAUAUUAUCUCAAGAGAUGAAUGCUCUGAAAAAAAAGAGAAAAAGAAAAUAAAAGAUACAAGGAAAUAAAAAGGAGCAAGUGCUCAGAACCUCGAAAGAAAAGAAAAAGAAGAGCAUCUCAUUCUCCUCAUAAAGUUUCAAAAGCAAGGAAGGUGUGUAUCCCCUCAAAGAGCAAAGUAGAAUUAGGCUUCCACCACCAUUGUUAUCACCAUCAUCACCAUACACCAUUCAUUCCCCACACAUGCACAUCUUGAUUUGGCUUAUUGAUUUGUUUCUUUGGAUCCAUGGUUUGACUAUGCAAUAAAUGUCUUGUAAGUAUGUAUACUUUAUCUCCCACCUAUGAGCUCCAGAUAUUAAAGCCUUAUUAGAGUAGGGUGAGAGAGAAGACAAUGACACUAUGCUUCAUACCACAAAUACUACAUAUUUUGAGAGAAGGCAUAUACCAUCACUGCCUUGGUAAGGAUCCAAAAAUACCACAAAAGAGAGAUCUGAGAGAGUCAUAUAAGGAAUCUCUGAGUUUUAUUUGAAAAUCUGCAAAAACCCCAGAGCUAUAGCUGAUCAAGAAUAAGAGACGUGGCACUUGGCUAGACUGUUCUAUCUUUUAACCACUCAAGACAGAAGUGACGGUUACAAGUCCUAUGGUGUAGGUAAAGUAAGUAAGUUUUAAGUCUUAACAGUUUAUUCUAACUCAGAGAUGAGAUCUUGUUUAAAUGCGUGUGUACUUCUAAGAAAUGAAACCACUGCAGAAACUCUUGAGUUCAUCCUUGCUCAGGGACGAGCAAGAGGUAAGCUUGGGGGAGUUUGUUGACGGUCCUUAAGUAUCAAAUUUAAUUAUCAAAUAAACAAAGAAAAGGAUCCAAAUGAAAUCAACAUCUAGACUUAGGGUUUUAUCUGACAGAAUUCCACGAGUUUUGGUGUUUGUCUAUUUCUGCAGGGGGUUAUCAGGAAACAAGGAAGAAAGGCCCACAUGUCGGGAUUACAUAGAGAUAUCAACCCACCGCGCAAUUUUCUACCAUCUAGAAGACUCCAGAAGCCACGGGAAGGAAGCGGAGCCCGAAAGGGGCCAGGCCCAAGGCGCCCGCCCUGAGGACCUGGGCGCCCGCCCCCCUCUGGACUCCGUUCCGGACUCUCUUCGCACACGACGUUCCACCGACCUAUUGGAUCCAGAAUAACAUAGUACCACCUCGCCUAUCGACCCAAAAACGCAUAGAAGGGGAGGACUAUAUAAGCAAGGCUCCCUGGCCCCUGGAGGAGACAAGAAAUUAUUAUAGAGAUUGAGGGGUGCCCUCGAAGGAAAACCUCUUCUCUAAAUAAUAUUUCUUUUUAGGCUUAGCAACCAAUGUAAAGUAGAAAUAGAUCUUCUAGUUUCUACUAGAUUGAGAGAGAUAGAGUGGAGGUGUGGAUCGGAGGAAGGCCGGCC
rnacentral:lncRNA from 1 species